rnacentral:rRNA from 1 species
CCUUAUCCUUUGUUGCCAGCGGUUAGGCCGGGAACUCAAAGGAGACUGCCAGUGAUAAACUGGAGGAAGGUGGGGAUGACGUCAAGUCAUCAUGGCCCUUACGACCAGGGCUACACACGUGCUACAAUGGCGCAUACAAAGAGAAGCGACCUCGCGAGAGCAAGCGGACCUCAUAAAGUGCGUCGUAGUCCGGAUUGGAGUCUGCAACUCGACUCCAUGAAGUCGGAAUCGCUAGUAAUCGUGGAUCAGAAUGCCACGGUGAAUACGUUCCCGGGCCUUGUACACACCGCCCGUCACACCAUGGGAGUGGGUUGCAAAAGAAGUAGGUAGCUUAACCUUCGGGAGGGCGCUUACCACUUUGUGAUUCAUGACUGGGGUGAAGUCGUAACAAGGUAACCGUAGGGGAACCUGCGGUUGGAUCACCUCCUUACCUGAAAGAAGC